rnacentral:antisense_RNA from 1 species
CUUCACCGACCCGAGCCACAGCGGCCCGGCGUCCGCGCGAGCGCGCCCGUAGGUCUCCAGCAGCGCCUGCGCCUC